CAUGUAAAAAUGCAGAGAAAGAACCGUGUUUAACAAACCGAACCGGUGAAGAUUUCGUUUCGGUUUAAAGGUAUGAACUGUUUGUAAAAUGUGUUCGAUUCUCGGUUUAGAUAGGUUUCGAACAAUAAACCGAUCGGUUUGGACAAAUUACUCAUUGAUUCUUCCCUCCUCUCAUCCUCGUGCUUGAGUCACAGAUCCGUUUCUCCUCUACUUCGUCUCUCGAUUUUGUCUUCACUCAGUUUCAAAGAUCGACACUUUCCGGCAUCUUGGGUUUUAAAACAUUUUUAGUAUUGCCGUUGAAGUCGUCUUCUUCGUCGUUCUUGGUGUGAACCGAAACUAAAGUUAGUCUCUUUGCUCCAACACGAUGAACGAAGUCUCAUUCAAAUGUUGUAGAACUUGGCAAAUAGACGAAAAAAAAAACCUGGUUGUGCGAAAGGAUCUGGUGUGGUCCGUGUGAACCGAUCAAGAACAGCAACGAACACUGUGAGCAUUCUAUUUUUUCAACAAAGAUUAUUUAUUCUGAGCCCUUUGUUUUUAGGGUAGAGUUCAGCUGUUAUUCAUUCAAAUGCUGUACAACUUGGCAAACAGAUAAUGCUUAUUCAUCAUCAAAGAACAAUGGAGUCUGUUUCUAGAUGAAUUUUAUGUUAAUUUUUUAAAUAUUUCUGUAGUUUUGGUA